rnacentral:rRNA from 1 species
AUUGAACGCUGGCGGCAGGCUUAACACAUGCAAGUCGAGCGAGCGGCGGACGGGUGAGUAAUGUCUGGGAAAGUGCCUGAUGGAGGGGGAAAACUAGUGGAAACGGUAGAUAAUACCGUAUAAUAACAGAUGUGCCCAGAUGGGAGUAGCUAGUAGGUGGGGUAAUGGCUCACCUAGGCGACGACCCCUAGCUGGUCUGAGAGGAAUACCAGCCACACUGGAACUGAGACACGGUCCAGACUCCUACUGGAGGCAGCAGUGGGGAAUAUUGCACAAUGGGCGCAAGCCUGAUGCAGCCAUGCCGCGUGUGUGAAGAAGGCCUUCGGGUUGUAAAGCACUUUCAGCGAGGAGGCGUUACUCGCAGAAGAAGCACCGGCUAACUCCGUGCCAGCAGCCGCGGUAAUUC